rnacentral:rRNA from 1 species
UACAGAGGGUGCGAGCGUUAAUCGGAAUUACUGGGCGUAAAGCGCGCGUAGGCGGCUUUGCAAGUCGGGUGUGAAAUCCCCAGGCUUAACCUGGGAACUGCAUUCGAGACUGCAUUGCUAGAGUAUGGGAGAGGGAAGUGGAAUUUCCGGUGUAGCGGUGAAAUGCGUAGAGAUGUGGAGGAACACCGAUGGCGAAGGCAGCCCCCUGGGUUAACACUGACGCUCAGGCACGAAAGCGUGGGGAGCAAACAGG